GCGAUCAUAGCUCAGCUGGGAUGAGCGUCCGCUUGACGUGCGGGAGGUCAGAGGUUCGAGCCCUCUUGGUCGCA
rnacentral:tRNA from 1 species